rnacentral:rRNA from 1 species
GGGUGUGAUCAUACUAGCGUUAAUGCACCGUAUCCCAUCAGAACUUCACAGUUAAAUGCGCUUGGGAUAGAGUAGUACUGUGAUGCGUGACCUCCCAGGAAGUCCUAGUUUUGCACCCU